rnacentral:misc_RNA from 1 species
AAAAAAAAAAAAGGAAAAAAGAGACAGAGAAUUAAUCCAACUGCUUUUUAAUUAAUUAAUCUGUUUAAUCGAGGGAAAAUUUAAAAUUUUAUUAUAUUUUGUUUUUAAGGCUCGUUUUUGGGAACAGGAGGGUCUAGUCUUCUGUCGGUGAUAAUUUCAACUAUAUGCUUAAUUUGAUUUUUCUUAUCAAAAUUUUUCCUUUUAUGACCCUUUACGUCUUUUGUUUUUUUUUUUUAAUGCUUAAUUUUAUUUCAACUAUAUGCUUAAUUUAAUUUCUACUACAAGAAUUUCUUAUCAAUUUAACGAACUGUACAUUAGUAGUGUGUGUGAGAUUGCAUUUUGUUGAACUUAAGUACGUGCAACCAAUAAAAAUUGUAUGCGAUGCAGCUGAGGCUAUCCUGCUU